UGUGUGUGGCACUCUGAAGAAUCUGUCAAGAUGAAGUCUCUGCUUCUGCAAGCUCACAGUCUGCGGUCCUGAUCCCGUAACUUACUCUGCAUGGUCCUUUCCUCAUGGAAACCUAAGCAGUCGAGAGCAGGACAUUGGGACAGUGACACAGGAAGGGAGAAGGCACUGUUUUGGAUUAUGUUAUGCUACUCUCAACAUGUUCCUGUGUUCAAGUUCCCAAGAAGGCAGGCUGAAACGUUGCCAACUCUAUUAAGUCCUUUCUGUUACACUGAGUCAGCUGCUGUGAUUUUACCUUUGCUCUUGGUCAAAUUAUUACACUCUAUUAUCUUUUUGUUCUUUUUUUAAACAUAAGAAAUUGCAAUACAAGUGUUUGUUCCAUGU